rnacentral:rRNA from 1 species
CGCGGCCUAUCAGCUUGUUGGCGAGGUAACGGCUCACCAAGGCAUCGACGGGUAGCUGGUCUGAGAGGACGAUCAGCCACACUGGGACUGAGACACGGCCCAGACUCCUGCGGGAGGCAGCAGUGGGGAAUCUUGCGCAAUGGGCGAAAGCCUGACGCAGCAACGCCGCGUGGGGGAUGAAGGCUCUCGGGUUGUAAACCCCUUUCAGCAGGGACGAAAUUGACGGUACCUGAAGAAGAAGCCCCGGCCAACUACGUGCCAGCAGCCGCGGUGACACGUAGGGGGCGAGCGUUGUCCGGAAUUAUUGGGCGUAAAGAGCUCGUAGGCGGUUUAGUAAGUCAGAUGUGAAAGGUUGGGGCUCAACCCUAAGACUGCAUCCGAUACUGCUAUGACUAGAGUCCGGUAGAGGAGUGUGGAAUUCCUGGUGUAGCGGUGAAAUGCGCAGAUAUCAGGAGGAACACCGACGGCGAAGGCAGCACUCUGGGCCGGUACUGACGCUCAGGAGCGAAAGCGUGGGUAGCAAACAGGAUUAGAUACCCUGGUAGUCCACGCCGUAAACGUUGGGCACUAGGUGUGGGGCCUUAUCAACGGGUUCCGUGCCGUAGCUAACGCAUUAAGUGCCCCGCCUGGGGAGUACGG